GAUGAACGCUAGCGGCAGGCCUAACACAUGCAAGUCGAGGGAGGAGCUUUCGGGCUUCGACCGGCGUACGGGUGCGUAACGCGUAUACAAUCUGCCUUUCACAUAGGGAUAGCCCGAAGAAAUUUGGAUUAAUACCUAAUGGUAUAUAGGAGUGGCAUCACAUUUAUAUUAAAGCUGAGGCGGUGAAAGAUGAGUAUGCGUUCUAUUAGCUAGUUGGAGAGGUAACGGCUCCCCAAGGCGACGAUAGAUAGGGGUUCUGAGAGGGAUAUCCCCCACACUGGUACUGAGAUACGGACCAGAGUCCUACGGGAGGCAGCAGUGAGGAAUAUUGGACAAUGGUAGGAAGACUGAUCCAGCCAUGCCGCGUGCAGGAAGACGGCCUUAGGGGUUGUAAACUGCUUUUGCAGGGGAAGAAUAAGGACUACGAGUAGUUUGAUGACGGUACUCUGCGAAUAAGCAUCGGCUAACUACGUG
rnacentral:rRNA from 1 species